AGUGGAAUAUAGAAUACGGUGAAUUGCUAACCCCCUGUACCAGUGGGGGAGGGUGGCUUAUAUAGAGUGUGCUGCCCUCCACAACGGUUCGGUGCACAGGGGUGGAGUAGUGGCGAAUAAAUGCCUACGUUACAGGUAACGUGCGUAUUAAAUGCUAAUAAAGGCACAUGGAAACGUAUGGCCGUUUCCCUCCAGGAGGGUUACGAUGCACAGAGUGGAAUCCAGUCGGAUAGUUUGAUAAACUCCGAAUGCUAAUCUCCGACUGGAUGGACGAGGAUCUGUUACCGACUGGAUGAAGGGAACUCCUUAGUUCAGUCGGAACUGACUAAGGGCCUUGUCCCUUAUGAGGGGUAGUCCUUGGGUUGGACCUACAGGGCAGGCCUAUGACCCUACCCUAGGACUAUAACCCCAUCAGCAGGUAUUGGGGACCGACUCGCUGUGGGAGCUCUAGUUCUCCACGAAUGCUUGGAGGUCUGGGAAGAGGGCAAUUCCUCCUCGCCCCCGACGUCGCUUGUGCUCUCUUCCCUCCUUGGGGAGAUGGAGCCUCACUAGGUUCCUCCUGCUGCUCGGAGCUAGAAUGAGAGUACGAGCUUUGUUG
rnacentral:lncRNA from 1 species